rnacentral:tRNA from 1 species
GCCUGGCUGGCUCAGUCAGUGGAGUAUGUGACUUUUGAUCUCAGAGUUGUGGGUUCAAGCCCCACAAUGGGUG